CCUACGGGCGGCAGCAGUGAGGAAUAUUGGUCAAUGGGCGUAAGCCUGAACCAGCCAAGUCGCGUGAGGGAUGAAGGCCCUAUGGGUUGUAAACCUCUUUUAUAAGGGAAUAAAGUGAGGGACGUGUGCCUUUUUGUAUGUACUUUAUGAAUAAGGAUCGGCUACCUCCGUGCCAGCAGCCGCGGUAAUACGGAGGAUCCGAGCGUUAUCCGGAUUUAUUGGGUUUAAAGGGGGCGUAGGAGGGCUUUUAAGUCAGCUGUGAAAGUCUGUGGCUCAACCGUAGAAUUGCAAUUGAUACUGGGAGGCUUGAGUAUGGUUGAGGCAGGCGGAAUGCGUGGUGUAGCGGUGAAAUGCUUAGAUAUCACGAAGAACCCCGAUUGCGAAGGCAGCCUACCAAACCAUGACUGACGCUGAUGCACGAAAGCGUGGGGAUCAAACAGGAUUAGAUACCCGAGUAGUC
rnacentral:rRNA from 1 species